AAUUCGAUAGUUUAGAUAUUCAAAAAUAUCUCCCUGAAAGGAUUUUUCGAAAUUCAAAUUAUUUUCAAAGUUACAGCCGUUUUAGUGUCGUGGCAACUAGACCGGGUUAAGCGGACGACUGCAACAAUAGACGACGGGCGGUCCGGGCUACCUGAGUAUGAAUAGCUUUCUUUAUUUCUUGUCAUAUACUUUUAGUUUACUAUAUCAAUAGUCUGAAGGUCAUUGUAACGUAUUAGACAAGAAUCUAGUGGAAUUGGUGGUAAGGGUGCUGGUAAAUUGACUGAUAAAGUAAUCACUCAGUUGUCUGCGUACUACGGAUUAGCUAUCCAUCGUCAUCCUGAAUCCGUAGAAGAUAUGAAACGAGAAAUAUGGGCCACGUACUUGCAUAAAAUUUCAACUGAUAAGAAGCCUCAGCACAUGAAUUGCCCUCCUGGACCAGACAGCUGGUGCAAGUGGCAGAAAGCAGCGGCCGAAGGAACUGAGGAUGACUUUCACCAUGAAAAUCCACCUCUAACUGAUAAGGUUUUAAAAGUUAUGAAACCUAUUUACGAAUGCUUAUCAGAUGAUUCUUUAUUAGAACGUUGCUUGGGCAGCGAAACUCAAAAUCACAACGAGUCACUUAACUCUUUAAUAUGGACAUUUGCACCCAAACAUAUCCAUGCCGGGUCCCAGACAAUUGAGAUUGCUAAUUGUUUAGCAGUUUGCACUUUCAAUGAAGGCUUUUAUCCUAUUUUACAAAUAAUGAGUCUAAUGGGAAUAAAAAUAGGUCUGGAAUCCCAUGGGUUUGCUGUUAGGCGCAACGCAGUAAGGAUUGAACGGUCUGAGGUUCGAGCUUCAGAUGCUUCAAAAGAGGAAAGAACUGCUCGUUAUACAGAGAGAAAUGCUGAAAACAGUCAAUAUGAAGUAAAGGAAGACCCAAUGUAUGAAGAUGGAAUGGCUGAUUAAGAGAAUAUGGAUACAAAGGGAGAAAUCCUUUUCACGAGGACACGGCCUUUUUUUUUUCUCUACUUCAAGGACUUAGGGAAAAAACAAAUGUCCGAGAUGGAGAAAGUGGAGGAUAAAGCAAAAGCUGAACACUUGAAGAUAUUGCUUAAGAACGCGCAGGAAGCGAUAAAGGCUUACGAGGAGGCUCAAAAAGGUGAGCCAAGCACCCCGAAAAUACCGCCGAUUACAGGAGAUGAUUAAGCUGUCGUUGCUAACGACGGGGAGAAGGAUAAAGAGAAUACUGAAAAUGAAAAGGACAAGGAGGAUAAGACGGAAAAAAAAGGCACGAAUCGGCGGGGCAGUCUCGAGCUAAUUGGUGGAAGAAAAAACGUUCUGAAAAUAAUGAGGAUGGACAGAACUACAAAAUACAAAAUCGUGGUAAUCGCGGCGGACGCCGUUACCAAAAUCGGGGCGGUAGAGACCGUUACCAAAAUCGAGGGUAGCGUAAUUCCGGCUCCAUCAAUUUUUAUAUUUCAAAAGAGUUUUAAAUGAACAACAUUAUGGACAAAA